AGAGUUUGAUCCUGGCUCAGAAUCAACGCUGGCGGCGUGCCUAACACAUGCAAGUCGAGCGAGAAAGUAGACUUCGGUCUGCGAGUACAGCGGCGCACGGGUGAGUGACACGUGGGUAAUCUGCCUCGGAGUGGGGAAUAACAUCGGGAAACCGGUGCUAAUACCGCAUACGAUUACAGGGUCUUCGGACCUUGUAAUGAAAGGAUUUAUUCGCUCUGAGAGGAGCCCGCGCCCGAUUAGCUAGAUGGUGAGGUAAUGGCUCACCAUGGCCACGAUCGGUAGCCGGUCUGAGAGGACGGUCGGCCACACUGGAACUGAGACACGGUCCAGACUCCUACGGGAGGCAGCAGUGGGGAAUUAUUGACAAUGGGGGAAACCCUGAUCAUGCAACGCCGCGUGGAUGAUGAAGUAUUUCGGUACGUAAAAUCCUUUCGACAGGGAAGAAGGCCAGCCUUCGGGUUGGUUUGACGGUACCUGUAGAAGAAGCCCCGGCUAACUCCGUGCCAGCAGCCGCGGUAAUACGGGGGGGGCAAGCGUUGUUCGGAUUUACUGGGCGUAAAGGGCGCGUAGGCGGUUUGUUAAGUCGGAUGUGAAAACUGUGGGCUCAACCCAUAGCCUGCAUCCGAUACUGGCAGACUAGAGUGCGAGAGGGGAAAGCGGAAUUCCUGGUGUAGCGGUGAAAUGCGUAGAUAUCAGGAGGAACACCGGCGGCGAAGGCGGCUUUCUGGAUCGCAACUGACGCUGAGGCGCGAAAGCUAGGGGAGCAAACAGGAUUAGAUACCCUGGUAGUCCUAGCCCUAAACGAUGGAUACUUGGUGUGGGGAGAGUUGAAUCUCUCCGUGCCGGAGCUAACGCGUUAAGUAUCCCGCCUGGGGAGUACGGUCGCAAGGCUGAAACUCAAAGGAAUUGACGGGGGCCCGCACAAGCGGUGGAGCAUGUGGUUUAAUUCGACGCAACGCGAAGAACCUUACCUGGGCUCGAACGGCUAGUGACAGCGGGUGAAAACUCGUUUUCCCUUCGGGGACACUAGCCGAGGUGCUGCAUGGCUGUCGACAGCUCGUGUCGUGAGAUGUUGGGUUAAGUCCCGCAACGAGCGCAACCCUUGCCUUUAGUUGCCAGCAUUUAGUUGGGCACUCUAGAGGGACUGCCGGUGAAAAACCGGAGGAAGGUGGGGAUGACGUCAAGUCCUCAUGGCCUUUAUGUCCAGGGCUACACACGUGCUACAAUGGGCGGUACAGAGGGUCGCAAACCCGCGAGGGGGAGCUAAUCCCAAAAAGCCGUCCUCAGUUCGGAUUGGAGUCUGCAACUCGACUCCAUGAAGUUGGAAUCGCUAGUAAUCGCGGAUCAGAAUGCCGCGGUGAAUACGUUCCCGGGCCUUGUACACACCGCCCGUCACAUCACGAAAGCCGUUUGUACUAGAAGCCGGUGAUUCAACCUUCGGGAGAAAGCCGUCUAAGGUAUGAGUGGUGAUUGGGGUGAAGUCGUAACAAGGUAACC
rnacentral:rRNA from 1 species